CUGGGAAUUGCAUUUAAAACUGUCCAGCUAGAGUCUUGUAGAGGGGGGUAGAAUUCCAGGUGUAGCGGUGAAAUGCGUAGAGAUCUGGAGGAAUACCGGUGGCGAAGGCGGCCCCCUGGACAAAGACUGACGCUCAGGUGCGAAAGCGUGGGGAGCAAACAGGAUUAGAUACCCUGGUAGUCCACGCCGUAAACGAUGUCGAUUUGGAGGCUGUGUCCUUGAGACGUGGCUUCCGGAGCUAACGCGUUAAAUCGACCGCCUGGGGAGUACGGCCGCAAGGUUAAAACUCAAAUGAAUUGACGGGGGCCCGCACAAGCGGUGGAGCAUGUGGUUUAAUUCGAUGCAACGCGAAGAACCUUACCUGGCCUUGACAUGUCUGGAAUCCUGCAGAGAUGCGGGAGUGCCUUCGGGAAUCAGAACACAG
rnacentral:rRNA from 1 species